UCCGGUUUGGCACCGGCAGUCUCCCUAGAGUUCCCGGCAUGACCCGCUGGCAACUAAGGAUAGGGGUUGCGCUCGUUGCGCCACUUAAGGCAACACCUCACGGCACGAGCUGACGACAGCCAUGCACCACCUGUGCAGGCUCCGUAGAGCACCCGCUUUCACGGGUUUCACCCUGCAUGUCAAGCCCAGGUAAGGUGGGGAUGACGUUUACGUGCACUU
rnacentral:misc_RNA from 1 species